rnacentral:tRNA from 1 species
UCGGGUGUAGUUCAAUGGCAGAACCUCAGCCUUCCAAGCUGAUGAUGUGGGUUCGAUCCCCAUCACCCGCUCCA